GCUCUGUAGCGGUGAACGCCUCCCUUGUAUUUGGGGGCCGUGCCCCAGGCCCCUCUCCCUGUGAACUCCUCUGGGCUUUGUAUCGCAAAGUGAAGACCUCAGGGCACAUGCUGGGGAACCUCUCAUUGGCUGAGAACAGCCUCACCUCUGAUGGGGCCGACUUGAUCACCCUGGCCCGGGAGACCAUCAGCAUCCGCUUCACAGCCAUGAGGUCCUUCCUGCCGCAGCUCCUCGUACCGGGUUCUGUUUCCUUUGUCCUGCUGGAAAGGCAGAUCCUCCAACAGGUCACACCGGUGGUGUCAGGAUUCUACAAGGCGAGUCCCCAGGAGAGGCCCCUGCUCCUCUUCAGCAAUGCGGACCAGUGGGUGGGUGUUUAUAUCGAAUACAAGUUCCAGACUCCCAUCACUACCCACCUCCAAGGCCUGGCUAAUCACUUGGCCCAAAACAUAACAGAUCCCAUCCUCCAGAAAUCCAGCAUCGUGGCCAAUGGGGAGAAGGCAGAGCUGGUGCUGUAUGAAGUUUGGCUGCAGAUCCUGGUCCAGCCCUACACCAAGGCUUUGGAGGACAAAACCAGCCCUGAGUUCUGGGCACUUCAAGGGCAGCUGACGAGAUGGGUGAAGUGGCGGGAUGAAGUGGGGGGUCGAGGAAGAGGCCUCGGGAAGAUGGGGGAUGACUGGACAAGACUUUGGUAGAGCUGUGACCCUCUUCAUCCUCUCCUGA
ensembl:lncRNA novel transcript